GUUCUUGCGUCUACAGCCGCAACGUUUCACGUUCGGCUGAUGGCUGGUGGCGAACGCCACCGGCCU
rfam:Pseudomonas oryzihabitans strain TSDA-ARS-TSMARC-56511, complete genome.